GGACUACUAGGGUUUCUAAUCCCGUUCGCUCCCCUGGCUUUCGCGUCUCAGCGUCAGAAAACGUCCAGGACCUCGCUUUCGCCACGGGCGUUCCUUCCGAUCUCAACGCAUUUCACCGCUCCACCGGAAGUUCCAGGUCCCCCUACGUUCCUCCAGACCGGUCGUAUCCGUGCCCGUUCCCCGGUUGAGCCGGGGGAUUUCAGCACCGGACGGGCCGAUCCGCCUACACGCGCUUUAAGCCCAGUGAUUCCGAAUAACGUUCGCACGGUUCGUCUUACCGCGGCUGCUGGCAC
rnacentral:rRNA from 1 species